CUCCUCCUCCUUCUUCUCCUCUUCCCUUCCCUCCCCUGCGCCUUUUCCACUUCGCUGCUGCCUAUCAGCCCCAGCCGAAGCCGAAGCCAGACCUCUCUUUCAAUGACAGGGGGUGAUAAGAGACUCGGAGAAAACAGCAAGCUGUCUGGUCUGCUCAGGAAGUCGGGGACGGCUGGUAUUGUCCAUCAGCGGGGCCACGCGGCGGCCGGAGGCCGGGAACAAUGCUCCGCUCUGGGGAAAUGGGCUCACUCAGCGCCGGUGCUGGCAGCCCCACGGCCGGCACAGAUAAAGCUCCGAGGCAGGGGGAGCAGGGGGAGCCGGGCCCGGUGCCGCUGAGCUGGAGCCGUGCCCCCCUCACGGGCGAGGGGCCGCGGCCUGCCAGGGCCCCGGGGCCAGCACGGCCCGAGCUGCAGGAGCCAGAGCCCCUCACAGGGCUGAGCGCUGCUCAGGCCUGUCCUUUUGCUAAGCCAAGCCUGAGAAAACAUCUUGGCCGGUGCCGUCCCUCGAGCCAGAUAAAAUUCCUGCCGAAUUACAGCCCGAUAUCCCCGAAGCCAGUGCUGAAUUUCACUCGCUUUGGAUCCGGAGCUGAGCUCACUCGUCAGGAGCCGUCCCGCACAGCUCUGUGCCGGGCAUCCCGCUGCAAGCGGGACCAUGGCUGCUUUUCGGGCUGCCACGCAUGAGGCGGCCCCAAGAGUGUUCGCCCCGCAGCGGGGAAAGCCCCGCUGCCGCAAACAGCAGAAUUCCUGCAGCUGGCUGCCGUCAGGCUGGUGCUUCCCUCCCUCGUACCUUGCCCUGAGGCCCGGUUUUGCACGCUGGGAAGACCUGGAAAUUGUUCCCCAGCCUGGAUGUAAGUGCAAUUGUAACCUCAGCUCACGGCCCUGCAAAGUGCCAAAGAGGCUUCCGAAUGGUGAACUCCUGCAUCAGCACCUACCCAACAGGAACCUCCUCAUGGGAGAGCUUUAAUAGCAGUAGCUGCUGAAGGAGAGGGAACUGCAGAAACACACUUGUUGCCAAACUGUGCAUUUAGUUGGAAGGAGGAGAAACAGAUGGGGAAAUCACUCUUCAGACAGUGUUUACUAGCACAAUCAGCACCUGAGGCAGCACUUAUUCAGGUGCUGAAAUUACAGAGAUAUUGGGGAACAGCAUGGAUGAAGAGAAACUGAGAUUAAGUGAUGGAGGAAAGUGCUUUGAUCUACAUCCAUAAGGACAAAAUGGGCAGGAAUAGGGACUAAGAAAAUGGAUGAGCUGUCUCUCUGUUGAGAAGUAGGUGUCCUCACUGAAGGCCCUAGAGAUGCUUAUGUGUCAUUAAGAUGAUAAAAGGAACUUUAACACCUGCUUGUUUGUGUGCAAACAAUGCCCCUUCAAGACCUAGAGCAUGCUGCAUGUAAUAAAGUACUAAUGGGGUGGAAACAAAUGCACUGGGGGGGAUGAAGUGGGGCCUGAAUUACAGAAUGGAGACAGCAAGCAAUACAUCUUCUUCCACUCUUUUGUUUAUUUUUUAAUCAUAAUUACCAAAUUUAAGCUAAGAGGUGUAAUUAAAAACUGGGAGUUUAAAAUAAGCAAUGAAUGUCUUGCUUGUAUCCACAGAAAGCAAGCCAGAUGCAUGCAAGUGUAGCCACUGUUUCUACAAUAUUCAAGUUAUCUGAGGACUGCUAUUUCAUUCUGCAGAGGAGACACUGCUAUUUCAAGUUAAGAAGUAUUUCUAUUUAAAAACUCACAUUUCAUUGUAAAAAUAUAAGAACUCUGAAAAACAGUCCUAUAUCUACAAAAUCAAGAAAUACAUUGGAAUCACAUAGUUUUAGAUGCUUCUAUUACUGCAAGCACCAGCUAUCAGAAAAAAAAAAGAAAAAAAUGAGCCACCUUUCUUUCUCUUCCACAUGGUUAUUAAUUUCUUCUAUUCCAGUUGUUCUCUACAGUAUGUAAACAGUGUCCUCACACACAGGAAGACAGAAGCUUCUGUUUUAUAAGGAGAAAUUCUUUUUUCCAGAUAAUCAAACUGGAAUUUGAUGCUUUUUCUACAAUGCUUUUAAGGAGCUAGCCUCCAAUUAUCUGCUUAUAUUUUCAAUUGUUGUUACAAUAAAAGUUUGGAUAUGCUCUGAUGAAGCCCAAGGAAAGGGAGAUAAACUUGCAUAUUUUGGUUUUUUAAGUCAAGGUGUUAUCUAAUACUGCUUGCAGCUGAGGAGAGUCCAUCUUGCACCUUUUAAUACAACAUUCAAAAUAUCUCUUUCAUUAUAGUUAAUUUCAGUAACAAUACAUACAUUUGUAUUUUUAAGUUAACUAUUUGCUAGUUUUGCAAGACUAGGGCUUACUAGUACACUUUCUCCUUGAAGGCUCUGUCCCCACCCCUGCCACAAUAUCUCUCUGCCAAACCAGCCUGAUGUUCUCAUAUUUUAAUUGAGGCUAACUGGAUCCAUCUGCCGCAUGACUUGGGGCUUACUCUGAACCUUAAAUUCCAUUCUUAUGCCAGAUCACUGAGAUUUGAGUCUUCUUUUAAGAGAAUGCUGUUUUCUCUUUAAAUUCUACAUGAGGGAAGUUUAGAUUUUAGCACAGAUGUUUGCACAGCAGUGAAGAGCUGAAUGAGACACUUGACACAUCUCUGCCAAACAUUCUAAAGUCAAAGGUAAUGAACAUAUGGCUGCUGCUGCCUCAUAGCCUGCUUGCUCUUAUUCAUGAUGCUCAAAGGUCACAUUUCUACCACUUGCUACACUUUUCUUGAGUCCUGGAUCUGGAAGUGUGCUUUGGCUGUCACAGAGAUCAUUUCUAACCUUGAGCAAAAUGAUGGGCAGUGCUUACAAACACCUGCAAAUGGAUACGAGAAAUACUUCUGCCAAGUA